UACGUAGGUGGCAAGCGUUGUCCGGAUUUACUGGGCGUAAAGGGAGCGUAGGCGGACUUUUAAGUGGGAUGUGAAAUACCCGGGCUUAACCUGGGUGCUGCAUUCCAAACUGGGAGUCUAGAGUGCAGGAGGGGAAAGUGGAAUUCCUAGUGUAGCGGUGAAAUGCGUAGAGAUUAGGAAGAAUACCAGUGGCGAAGGCGACUUUCUGGACUGUAACUGACGCUGAGGCUCGAAAGCGUGGGGAGCGAACAGG
rnacentral:rRNA from 1 species